AUACAACAUUGGGCAGGUAGUAUACAUGUACUCAUAUGGGGAGGAGGUAGAAGACAUACAGAUGGCAGAAUAUCGAGGGAGAACUUCGAUUUUAAGAGAUGGCAUCACUGAAGGGAAGGCUACUCUCCGAAUUUACAACACCAGAGCCUCUGACAGUGGAAAUUACCUGUGUUAUUUCCAAGAUGACAAAUUCUCUGAAAACGCCAUGAUGCAGCUGAAGGUUGCAGGUGAGCCUCCAGGUUUUGUUCUGAACUCAUUGCUACCUGGAACCUGUGAGCAGAGGCAGAAGUCAUGCUCCAAUACACCUCAGAGCAUCCUGGUAAUUCACUAGGAACUGCCUCCACUGCCUUCCCACUUUGUUUCUCUGAGGUCCUUGGGAAAGUCACAGGCUUUCCUCCAGGAAGAAUCUCUCCUGUACCCUAUAAUAUCAAGUAAAAAACUCCCUCCUGCUGGCCACCAGGGUAUAAGCAGGGAAGUGGAAGGUCGAGGAUAGGAAGGAUAAGAAAAUAUCACCUCAGUGAUGGCACACAGUUGUUUGGGUUCAGUUGUGUUCCAGACAGCUUCUGUGGCCCCUCCAGGUGCAGACUGCUGUGGGCCCUGGGAGGAUGACCUGUAGGACAGCAUCUGUGCUGCCAAUGUUCUCCAGCCAAAGGCUCCCAGGAACACACCUGGAGUUGACCCAGUUGUGUUUAUUACAUUUUUCAGGGAGGGAAA